rnacentral:rRNA from 1 species
UGCCAGCCGCCGCGGUAAUACGGAGGGUGCAAGCGUUGUCCGGAUUCAUUGGGUUUAAAGGGUGCGCAGGCGGAUUAAUAAGUCAGUGGUGAAAUCCUACAGCUUAACUGUAGAACUGCCAUUGAUACUGUUAGUCUUGAGUAUGUUCGAGGUGGUUGGAAUGAGUGGUGUAGCGGUGAAAUGCAUAGAGACCACUCAGAACACCGAUUGCGAAGGCAGAUCACUAGAACAUAACUGACGCUGAGGCACGAAAGCGUGGGGAGCGAACAGGAUUAGAUA